rnacentral:rRNA from 1 species
UGGGGAAUAUUGGACAAUGGAGGAAACUCUGAUCCAGCAAUUCUGUGUGUGUGAAGAAGGUUUUAGGACUGUAAAACACUUUUAGUAGGGAAGAAAAAAAUGACGGUACCUACAGAAGAAGCAACGGCUAAAUACGUGCCAGCAGCCGCGGUAAUACGUAUGUUGCGAGCGUUAUCCGGAAUUAUUGGGCUUAAAGAGCAUCUAGGCGGUAAGACAAGUUGAAGGUGAAAACCUGUGGCUCAACCAUAGGCUUGCCUACAAAACUGUUGAACUAGAGUACUGGAAAGGUGGGUGGAACUACACGAGUAGAGGUGAAAUUCGUAGAUAUGUGUAGGAAUGCCGAUGAUGAAGAUAACUCACUGGACAGAAACUGACGCUGAAGUGCGAAAGCUAGGGGAGCAAACAGG